rnacentral:rRNA from 1 species
GAUGAACGCUAGCGGCAGGCCUAACACAUGCAAGUCGAGGGGGAAGUUACUUUCGGGUAACAGAGACCGGCGUACGGGUGCGUAACGCGUAUACAAUCUGCCUUUCACUGGGGGAUAGCCCGAAGAAAUUUGGAUUAAUACCCCAUAGUAUAGUAGUGUGGCAUCACACGACUAUUAAAGCCUUGGUGGUGAAAGAUGAGUAUGCGUUCUAUUAGCUAGUUGGAGAGGUAACGGCUCCCCAAGGCGAUGAUAGAUAGGGGUUCUGAGAGGGAUGUCCCCCACACUGGUACUGAGAUACGGACCAGACUCCUACGGGAGGCAGCAGUGAGGAAUAUUGGACAAUGGUCGGAAGACUGAUCCAGCCAUGCCGCGUGCAGGAUGAAGGUCUUAUGGAUUGUAAACUGCUUUUGUAAGGGAAGAAUAAGAGCUACGCGUAGUUUGAUGACGGUACCUUACGAAUAAGCAUCGGCUAACUCCGUGCCAGCAGCCGCGGUAAUACGGAGGAUGCGAGCGUUAUCCGGAAUCAUUGGGUUUAAAGGGGUCUGUAGGCGGGCUUGUAAGUCAGAGGGUGAAAAGCGCUCAGCUCAACUGAGCAACUGCCUUUUGAAACUGUUGGUUCUUUGAAUGGGUUGUGAAGUAGUUGGAAUGUGUAGUGUAGCGGUGAAAUGCUUAGAUUUUACACAGAACACCGAUAGCGAAGGCAUAUUACUAACAUUUAAUUGACGCUGGAGGACGAAAGCGUGGGGAGCGAACAGGAUUAGGAUACCCUGGGAGUCCAGGGCGAAUUCCACAGGUGGGAUAUCAAGCUUAUCGAUACCGUCGACCUCGAGGGGGGCCCGUACCCAGUUUUGUUCCCUUUAGGAGGGUUAAUUA